ACCUGACUGGCUCAGUCAGGGGAGCUUGUGACUCUUGAUCUCAGAGUUGUGAGUUCAAACCCCACAUUGGGUA
rnacentral:tRNA from 1 species